rnacentral:tRNA from 1 species
GCCACCGUGGUCUAGCGGUUAGAACGCUGGCCUUGUAAUCCUGGGGUCUCGGGUUCGAUUCCCGGCUGUGCCC